AGCAGAGGGGACCUGUUGCUAGAAGCUCUAGAUUCAUUCAUGCUCAGGCUCAAAAGAGGAUCUGCUACCCAUGAAGAUGGAGGGGAAUUCGGCAGUAUCUACCACACCUGCGGCCCUGGAACUCACGAGCCUCUCCCAGGGAAUCACUCUGAUGGAGACGAAGCAAAGGACAGGCAAGGUUAUUCUAGAGCUGCCUUCCUCCCCUCACUUUUCUGCCAUGAUGUCCUUGCUCACCUCUGGCCCGGAACAAUGGCGUUGGCCAUCUAUGGACUGAGACCUC